rnacentral:rRNA from 1 species
AACGAACGCUGGCGGCAGGCUUAACACAUGCAAGUCGAACGCCCCGCAAGGGGAGUGGCAGACGGGUGAGUAACGCGUGGGAAUCUACCUAGUUCUACGGAACAACAGUUGGAAACGACUGCUAAUACCGUAUACGCCCUAUGGGGGAAAGAUUUAUCGGAAUUAGAUGAGCCCGCGUAAGAUUAGCUAGUUGGUGGGGUAAUGGCCUACCAAGGCGACGAUCUUUAGCUGGUCUGAGAGGAUGAUCAGCCACACUGGGACUGAGACACGGCCCAGACUCCUACGGGAGGCAGCAGUGGGGAAUAUUGGACAAUGGGCGCAAGCCUGAUCCAGCCAUGCCGCGUGAGUGAUGAAGGCCUUAGGGUUGUAAAGCUCUUUCAGUGGGGAAGAUAAUGACGGUACCCACAGAAGAAGCCCCGGCUAACUUCGUGCCAGCAGCCGCUGUAACAC